GACGAACGCUGGCGGCGUGCCUAACACAUGCAAGUCGAACGGAGAUACGAUUUCGGUUGUAUCUUAGUGGCGAACGGGUGAGUAACGCGUGAGCAACCUGACCUUUAGAGGGGGAUAACACUUGGAAACAGGUGCUAAUACCGCAUAAGACCACGACCCGACAUCGGGAUGAGGUCAAAGGAGUAAUCCGCUAGAGGAGGGGCUCGCGUCCCAUUAGAUAGAUGGCGGGGUAACGGCCCACCAUGUCGACGAUGGGUAGCCGAGCUGAGAGGCUGAUCGGCCACACUGGAACUGAGACACGGUCCAGACUCCUACGGGAGGCAGCAGUGGGGAAUAUUGGGCAAUGGGCGCAAGCCUGGCCCAGCAACGCCGCGUGAGGGAAGAAGGCCUUCGGGUUGUAAACCUCUGUCCUUGGUGACGAAAAAAAUGACGGUAGCCAAGGAGGAAGCCCCGGCUAACUACGUGCCAGCAGCCGCGGUAAUACGUAGGGGGCGAGCGUUGUCCGGAAUUACUGGGCGUAAAGGGUGCGUAGGUGGCCUUUUAAGUUGGAUGUGAAAUACCCGAGCUUAACUUGGGGGGUGCAUCUAAUACUGGGAGGCUAGAGUGCAGGAGAGGGAAGCGGAAUUCCUAGUGUAGCGGUGAAAUGCGUAGAUAUUAGGAGGAACACCAGUGGCGAAGGCGGCUUUCUGGACUGUAACUGACACUGAGGCACGAAAGCGUGGGGAGCAAACAGGAUUAGAUACCCUGGUAGUCCACGCGGUAAACGAUGAAUACUAGGUGUAGGGGGUAUCAACUCCCCCUGUGCCGCAGCUAACGCAAUAAGUAUUCCGCCUGGGGAGUACGGCCGCAAGGUUG
rnacentral:rRNA from 1 species